rnacentral:sRNA from 3 species
CAAAAAGACCGCGAAACCGUUAGGAGGGAAACGAAUGCAGCCAAAGUGGCUCUCAUUCAGGCUCAGGAGUUGUCGGUGUGCAGUGCCGGGCUGUUGGAUGCCGAAGGGUACGGCAGUCAGGAUACAGCGUGCCGAACACUCUGCACUCCUGAUGAGAGUCGGCCAACAGCAGUUACCUCUGACUCGAAAGGGUUGUCGGGCAGGUAGCUUCUUGGUUUACCAGGAAGAACUUAUAGCCAUCAGCCUGGCAGUUGGGGGUGACUGAGGAGUGUUGUGACUUUUCACACCAGCAGUGCAGGCUCCCUAGGGGCCGGGUCGCUUCUGUCCGUGUGGGCAAUGCUUCAGGGACUGCGUGCAGUGUCAGAAGACAUGUGUGUGCUCGGAUGGGAGGUUGGCCACGCCUUGCACUGAAGUUGUUGGUACCUGGAUGGUUUCAUUUGA